CCUUUAAAGAAAGCGUAAUAGCUCACUGGUCGAGUCGGCCUGCGCGGAAGAUGUAACGGGGCUAAAACUAGUCACCGAAGCUGCGGAUGUGCGCGAAGGCGCACGUGGUAGGGGAGCGUUCUGUAGGCUGAAGAAGGUGCAUUGAGAAGUGUGCUGGAGGUAUCAGAAGUGCGAAUGCUGACAUGAGUAACGAUAAUGUGGGUGAAAAGCCCACACGCCGGAAGUCCCAGGUUUCCUGCACGACGUUAAUCGGAGCAGGGUGAGUCGGCCCCUAAGGCGAGGCUGAAGAGCGUAGUCGAUGGGAACCAGGUUAAUAUUCCUGGACUUUUUAUAAGUGGUGAAGUGGGGACGAAGAAGGCUAGGUGAGCCAGGCGUUGGUUGUCCUGGUACUUGCAUGUAGGGGGGAAGACUUGGCAAAUCCGGUUUUCCAUAACUCUGAGGUGCGAAGUGGUUCUGACCUUUUGGUACAGAGAAGUCAUUGAUGCCCGGCUUCCAGGAAAAGCUGCUAGCCAUAACUUAUAGAGAACCGUACCGCAAACCGACACAGGUGGACAGGUAGAGAAUACUAAGGCGCUUGAGAGAACUCGGGUGAAGGAACUAGGCAAAAUGGUACCGUAACUUCGGGAGAAGGUACGCCCUUUCUGGUGAUGGGAUUUACUUUCAGAGCUGGAGAGGGCCGCAGAGACCAGGUGGCUGCGACUGUUUAUUAAAAACACAGCACUCUGCAAAUUCGUAAGAAGACGUAUAGGGUGUGACGCCUGCCCGGUGCCGGAAGGUUAAUUGAUGGGGUUAUCUUCGGAGAAGCUCUUGAUCGAAGCCCCGGUAAACGGCGGCCGUAACUAUAACGGUCCUAAGGUAGCGAAAUUCCUUGUCGGGUAAGUUCCGACCUGCACGAAUGGCGUAACGAUGGCCACACUGUCUCCACCCGAGACUCAGUGAAAUUGAAAUCGCUGUGAAGAUGCAGUGUACCCGCGGCUAGACGGAAAGACCCCGUGAACCUUUACUAUAGUUUUGCACUGGACUUUGAUGAUGACUGUGUAGGAUAGGUGGGAGGCUGUGAAGUGAGGACGCUAGUUCUCAUGGAGCCGCCCUUGAAAUACCACCCUGUUGUUAUUGAGGUUCUAACUUGGUCCAGUAAUCCUGGAUGAGGACAGUGUAUGAUGGGUAGUUUGACUGGGGCGGUCUCCUCCCAAAGAGUAACGGAGGAGCACAAAGGUACCCUCGGUACGGUCGGACAUCGUACCAAGAGUGUAAAGGCAAAAGGGUGCUUGACUGCGAGAGUGACGGCUCGAGCAGGAACGAAAGUUGGUCUUAGUGAUCCGGUGGUUCUGAAUGGAAGGGCCAUCGCUCAACGGAUAAAAGGUACUCCGGGGAUAACAGGCUGAUACCGCCCAAGAGUUCAUAUCGACGGCGGUGUUUGGCACCUCGAUGUCGGCUCAUCACAUCCUGGGGCUGAAGCAGGUCCCAAGGGUAUGGCUGUUCGCCAUUUAAAGUGGUACGCGAGCUGGGUUUAGAACGUCGUGAGACAGUUCGGUCCCUAUCUGCCGUGGGCGUAGGAAAAUUGAGAGGAGCUGCUCCUAGUACGAGAGGACCGGAGUGGACGAACCUCUGGUGCACCGGUUGUCACGCCAGUGGCAUGGCCGGGUAGCUAAGUUCGGACGGGAUAACCGCUGAAAGCAUCUAAGCGGGAAGCCUCCCUCAAGAUGAGUUUUCCCAUGAAGCCCGUUGAAGACUACGACGUUGAUAGGCAAGGUGUGGAAGCGCAGUAAUGCGUGAAGCUAACUUGUACUAAUUGGCUGAUUGUCUUGACCAU
rnacentral:rRNA from 1 species